rnacentral:lncRNA from 1 species
UUGAGCUAAAGAGCCCAGCUCUGAGGUUGGAAUCUGUAAGAUUUGCAUGCUCGGUAGAUCAGGCAAAGAGGUCACCACAUAACACACUGACUAGUGGUUUGCACUAGAGAAUGGAAACAGAGUAUCAGUGAGGAUGAUUGUAAUAAGGGGGAGAAGAAGACCCAGUUAGAUGACCUGAUCCAAAGCCCUUUGAAAUCAAUGGAAACAUUCCCUUUGUCUUCAAUGGAUUUUAGAUCAGGCCCAGUAUGAGGAAGAAGUGUUGCAAAGUAUUAUGUAGUGGUGACAGUUGUCCUGCCUUUAUUUAGGGCUUGAGCCUAGUGAAGUCAGUGAAAAUACUCUCCUUGAUUUAAAUGGGCUUUGGAGCAGGCUCUUUGAGUCCUGCUGAUUCUAAGUAGGAAAUGGGAUAACGGAGCAGACAGACUGCUUUCCUUAGAAUUCCUUGUGAAUUGGUGUAUUAUGCUUUGACUUUGUUGGCCCCACUCCAAAGAUUUCAGAUAGGUACAGAAGACCAGCCAACUGCCUCUGUGCCUUUCUUCCAACAUUUUCAUUUGCAAGUCACUGGGGAUCUCCACAGAAGACAGAAAAGAGAAGAAGCAAAUAUCUCAUGGGCUUCUUGGUGCCCUGGAAAACCAGACAGAAAUGCUUUGCAGGGUAAGAGUUCAACGCAAAUGAGGAGCACAGCUCACGUUAUGCAGGAUAUUGAAUAGCACCCUCCCUUCUGUGCACCCUUGAGUUUUGGCUAGAGGUCAUUGAAACACAAUAUUCAGUGAUACUUUAUCUCAUUUUCCAUUCAAGUCAAAGUUUAAAUUAUUCCAAAAGCAACUUUUAAAUCAUGCUGCUGAGGAUCAUUGGGGACAGCAUCGAGCUUUUGUAACCAGACUUUCUUUUUCAUCUGACUGUUAUGUAACAUAUCCAGUAACCAUUUACCAGGUCACCUAACUGGGUGAAUAGCACUUAUGAGUAGAAAUGGCUACAUUCAGCUUCCAUAUUAGGCACAGGAAAGUAGGGAAGUACAGUCAUAUGCCAGUGUCCCACAUUAAUUUCUCCAUAUUUAAUAACCUUUUGUAUAAUCUUUUUGACUCUGGAUAAUGUUCAUCAGGAACAAACUCUCAUGAAAG